AAGGGAGACCUAAUUCAGGUAGGAGACGAAAAAAUAGUAGUCCCAACCAAGAAUCAAUCCCAAAAGGUCGGAGCGAGGCGAAAUUGGCUUUCAAACUAGGUUCUGGGUUCAAACAAGACCUGGAUCAGGAACAAGGGCUAUUAGCUCAGGUGGUUAGAGCGCACCCCUGAUAAGGGUGAGGUCCCUGGUUCGAGUCCAGGAUGGCCCACCUGCACAGGUGGCAAAAACAAAGAAGAGAAGCUCCGAAUCAGCACCUUAUCUUAUCUAUAGAUAAGAGAGAAUGCUGGCUCUGAGUUCAGAGUCCAGAGGAACCUUGAAAACUGCAUAGAGCUAGGUGAAAAAGCCAAAAAAGAAGACCGCAA
rnacentral:tRNA from 1 species